UACGUAGGGACCAAGCGUUGUUCGGAUUUACUGGGCGUAAAGGGCGCGUAGGCGGCAAAUUAAGUCAUCUGUGAAAUCCCCGAGCUUAACUCGGAACGGUCAGGUGAUACUGAUCUGCUAGAGUGCGGAAGGGGCAAUCGGAAUUCUUGGUGUAGCGGUGAAAUGCGUAGAUAUCAAGAGGAACACCUGAGGUGAAGACGGGUUGCUGGGCCGACACUGACGCUGACAGCGCGAAAGCCAGGGGAGCAAACGGG
rnacentral:rRNA from 1 species